UGGAACUACUAGCAAGUUUAAGCUUAUAUUGGGGUACUUGCAGCUUGACAAUCAACUGCCCCUCACAUUGAUGCCUGUACUUCUGGCACCUGAACAAAACAUUGAUAUGCAUCAUCCAGUCCUCAAGAUGACUUUUACAGUGCGCAAUGAGAACAUUGAUGGUGUUCAGGUAUACCCAUAUGUUCAUGUAAGGGUAACAGAUAAAUACUGG
rnacentral:misc_RNA from 1 species